UAAGAGCCUGGAGCGGGUGCAGG
rnacentral:piRNA from 1 species